AAAAAGGGGAACAGCCUGAUCCGCCAUGCCGCGUGAUUGAUGAAGGCCUUAGGGUUGUAAAGAUCUUUCAGAUGGGAAGAUAAUGACGGUACCAUCAGAAGAAGCUCCGGCUAACUCCGUGCCAGCAGCCGCGGUAAUACGGAGGGAGCUAGCGUUGUUCGGAAUUACUGGGCGUAAAGCGUACGUAGGCGGACUAUUAAGUCAGAGGUGAAAUCCCAGGGCUCAACCCUGGAACUGCCUUUGAUACUGGUAGUCUAGAGGUCGAGAGAGGUGAGUGGAAUUCCGAGUGUAGAGGUGAAAUUCGUAGAUAUUCGGAGGAACACCAGUGGCGAAGGCGGCUCACUGGCUCGAUACUGACGCUGAGGUACGAAAGUGUGGGUAGCAAACAGGAUUAGAUACCCUGGUAGUCCACACCGUAAACGAUGAAUGCUAGUCGUCAGGGGACUUGUCCUUUGGUGACGCAGCUAACGCAUUAAGCAUUCCGCCUGGGGAGUACGGUCGCAAGAUUAAAACUCAAAGGGAAU
rnacentral:rRNA from 1 species